rnacentral:rRNA from 1 species
GUAUAUGGAUGUACCACCCUGAAUGUGCCCAAUCACAUCUGAUCUCCAAAGCUAAACAGGGUCGGGUAUGGUUAGUGCUUGGAUGGGAGACUUCUUGGAUGGUAGCUUCUAAGUGCU